rnacentral:rRNA from 1 species
AACGAACGCUGGCGGCAUGCCUAACACAUGCAAGUCGAACGAGACCUUCGGGUCUAGUGGCGCACGGGUGCGCAACGCGUGGGAAUCUGCCCUUGGGUUCGGGAUAACAGUUGGAAACGACUGCUAAUACCGGAUGAUGACUUCGGUCCAAAGAUUUAUCGCCCAGGGAUGAGCCCGCGUAGGAUUAGCUUGUUGGUGAGGUAAAGGCUCACCAAGGCGACGAUCCUUAGCUGGUCUGAGAGGAUGAUCAGCCACACUGGGACUGAGACACGGCCCAGACUCCUACGGGGGGCAGCAGUGGGGAAUAUUGGACAAUGGGCGAAAGCCUGAUCCAGCAAUGCCGCGUGAGUGAUGAAGGCCUUAGGGUUGUAAAGCUCUUUUACCCGGGAUGAUAAUGACAGUACCGGGAGAAUAAGCCCCGGCUAACUCCGUGCCAGCCGCCGCCGUAA